rnacentral:ribozyme from 1 species
UGCCCAGAAACUCCUAUCCCUAACUCCUCGUGGUACUGCCCGGGGUACGAGUAUCCUUGGGGAAAAUCGGGUAACUAAUCCCGGUAGGAACUUUGGUCGUAUGCUGACAGGGAAGA